CUCCGUCGUAAGCACACCUCUAAAAGCAAGUAUGCAACUAUGACAAACUCAUAUACGUCAGGUCAAAGUGCAGCUUAUGGGAGGGCGACGAUGGGUUACACCCUAAAUAAAGAUACAAAAUAUAACACUAAAAGCUAUAUGAAGGUGGACUUGGACGUAAUAAAGAUACAAAACCAAAAUGAAAACGAAUCUGAGACAUGCACACAUCGCCCGUCACUCUUGCCCAAAGGUAAGAUAAGUCGUAACAAAGUAGGUGUAACGGAAGUUGCACCUGU
rnacentral:rRNA from 1 species